rnacentral:siRNA from 1 species
AGGAAAGUCUGUGGUACAAAACAA